rnacentral:rRNA from 1 species
UACGUAGGGUGCAAGCGUUGUCCGGAAUUAUUGGGCGUAAAGAGCUCGUAGGCGGUUUGUUGCGUCGGCUGUGAAAUCCCGAGGCUCAACCUCGGGUCUGCAGUCGAUACGAGCAAACUAGAGUGUUGCAGGGGAGACUGGAAUUCCUGGUGUAGCGGUGAAAUGCGCAGAUAUCAGGAGGAACACCGGUGGCGAAGGCGGGUCUCUGGGGCAACAACUGACGCUGGAGGAGCGAAAAGCGUGGGGAGCGAACAGG